UACGUAGGGUGCGAGCGUGUCCGGAAUUAUUGGGCGUAAAGAGCUCGUAGGCGGUGUGUCGCGUCGGCCGUGAAAACCUGGGGCUCAACUCUGGGCGUGCGGUCGAUACGGGCAUCACUUGAGUUCGGCAGGGGAGACUGGAAUUCCUGGUGUAGCGGUGGAAUGCGCAGAUAUCAGGAGGAACACCGGUGGCGAAGGCGGGUCUCUGGGCAGUAACUGACGCUGAGGAGCGAAAGCGUGGGGAGCGAACAGG
rnacentral:rRNA from 1 species